AAGGAUCAUUACUGAAGAAACAAGGGUUUUGAGACUGCGUCCUUCAAUUGGGCGUGUGCUCGACUCUUACUCUUUCAUAUCCCAUACACACCUUUGUGCACCAAGGGGACCCUUGUGUCCCCCUUUUUUUCAUAAAUACCGAGUUAUAUGCAUGUAUAGUUUGUAUACUCUACGGAGUUAUUAUAAAUACAACUUUCAACAACGGAUCUCUUGGCUUUC
rnacentral:misc_RNA from 1 species